AUACGGAGGGUGCGAGCGUUAAUCGGAAUUACUGGGCGUAAAGCGCGCGUAGGCGGCUUUGUAAGUCGGAUGUGAAAGCCCUGGGCUUAACCUGGGAAUUGCACUCGAUACUGCAGAGCUAGAGUAUGGUAGAGGGAAGUGGAAUUUCCGGUGUAGCGGUGAAAUGCGUAGAUAUCAGAAGGAACACCAGUGGCGAAGGCGACUUCCUGGGCCAAUACUGACGCUGAGGUGCGAAAGCGUGGGGAGCAAACAGGAUUAGAAACCCGUGUAGUCC
rnacentral:rRNA from 1 species